CCGGCACGGGUGAGUAACACGUAUCCAACCUGCCGUCUACUCUUGGACAGCCUUCUGAAAGGAAGAUUAAUACAAGAUGGCAUCAUGAGUCCGCAUGUUCACAUGAUUAAAGGUAUUCCGGUAGACGAUGGGGAUGCGUUCCAUUAGAUAGUAGGCGGGGUAACGGCCCACCUAGUCUUCGAUGGAUAGGGGUUCUGAGAGGAAGGUCCCCCACAUUGGAACUGAGACACGGUCUAA
rnacentral:rRNA from 1 species